rnacentral:rRNA from 1 species
GACGAACGCUGGCGGCGUGCCUAAUACAUGCAAGUCGAGCGCAGGAAGCCGUCUGAACCCUUCGGGGGGACGACGGUGGAAUGAGCGGCGGACGGGUGAGUAACACGUAAAGAACCUGCCCAUAGGUCUGGGAUAACCACGAGAAAUCGGGGCUAAUACCGGAUGUGUCAGCGGACCGCAUGGUCCGCUGAUGAAAGGCGCUCCGGCGUCGCCCAUGGAUGGCUUUGCGGUGCAUUAGCUAGUUGGUGGGGUAACGGCCCACCAAGGCGACGAUGCAUAGCCGACCUGAGAGGGUGAUCGGCCACACUGGGACUGAGACACGGCCCAGACUCCUACGGGAGGUAGCAGUAGGGAAUCUUCCACAAUGGACGAAAGUCUGAUGGAGCAACGCCGCGUGAACGAUGAAGGCUUUCGGGUCGUAAAGUUCUGUUGUAAGGGAAGAACAAGUGCCGCAGGCAAUGGCGGCACCUUGACGGUACCUUGCGAGAAAGCCACGGCUAACUACGUGCCAGCCGCCGCGGUAA